rnacentral:rRNA from 1 species
GACGAACGCUGGCGGCGUGCUUAACACAUGCAAGUCGAACGGAAAGGCCCUGCUUUUGUGGGGUGCUCGAGUGGCGAACGGGUGAGUAACACGUGAGUAACCUGCCCUUGACUUUGGGAUAACUUCAGGAAACUGGGGCUAAUACCGGAUAGGAGCUCCUGCUGCAUGGUGGGGGUUGGAAAGUUUCGGCGGUUGGGGAUGGACUCGCGGCUUAUCAGCUUGUUGGUGGGGUAGUGGCUUACCAAGGCUUUGACGGGUAGCCGGCCUGAGAGGGGGACCGGCCACAUUGGGACUGAGAUACGGCCCAGACUCCUACGGGAGGCAGCAGUGGGGAAUAUUGCACAAUGGGCGGAAGCCUGAUGCAGCCACGCCGCGUGCGGGAUGACGGCCUUCGGGUUGUAAACCGCUUUCGCCUGUGACGAAGCGUGAGUGACGGUAAUGGGUAAAGAAGCACCGGCUAACUACGUG